GACGAACGCUGGCGGCGUGCUUAACACAUGCAAGUCGAACGGAAAGGCCCUGCUUUUGUGGGGUGCUCGAGUGGCGAACGGGUGAGUAACACGUGAGUAACCUGCCCUUGACUUUGGGAUAACUUCAGGAAACUGGGGCUAAUACCGGAUAGGAGCUCCUGCUGCAUGGUGGGGGUUGGAAAGUUUCGGCGGUUGGGGAUGGACUCGCGGCUUAUCAGCUUGUUGGUGGGGUAGUGGCUUACCAAGGCUUUGACGGGUAGCCGGCCUGAGAGGGUGACCGGCCACAUUGGGACUGAGAUACGGCCCAGACUCCUACGGGAGGCAGCAGUGGGGAAUAUUGCACAAUGGGCGGAAGCCUGAUGCAGCAACGCCGCGUGCGGGAUGACGGCCUUCGGGUUGUAAACCGCUUUCGCCUGUGACGAAGCGUGAGUGACGGUAAUGGGUAAAGAAGCACCGGCUAACUACGUGCCAGCAGCCGCGGUGAUACGUAGGGUGCGAGCGUUGUCCGGAUUUAUUGGGCGUAAAGGGCUCGUAGGUGGUUGAUCGCGUCGGAAGUGUAAUCUUGGGGCUUAACCCUGAGCGUGCUUUCGAUACGGGUUGACUUGAGGAAGGUAGGGGAGAAUGGAAUUCCUGGUGGAGCGGUGGAAUGCGCAGAUAUCAGGAGGAACACCAGUGGCGAAGGCGGUUCUCUGGGCCUUUCCUGACGCUGAGGAGCGAAAGCGUGGGGAGCGAACAGGCUUAGAUACCCUGGUAGUCCACGCUGUAAACGGUGGGUACUAGGUGUGGGGUCCAUUCCACGGGUUCCGUGCCGUAGCUAACGCUUUAAGUACCCCGCCUGGGGAGUACGGCCGCAAGGCUAAAACUCCAAGGAAUUGACGGGGCCCCGCACAAGCGGCGGAGCAUGCGGAUUAAUUCGAUGCAACGCGUAGAACCUUACCUGGGUUUGACAUGGAUCGGGAGCGCUCAGAGAUGGGUGUGCCUCUUUUGGGGUCGGUUCACAGGUGGUGCAUGGCUGUCGUCAGCUCGUGUCGUGAGAUGUUGGGUUAAGUCCCGCAACGAGCGCAACCCUUGUUCACUGUUGCCAGCACGUCAUGGUGGGGACUCAGUGGAGACCGCCGGGGUCAACUCGGAGGAAGGUGGGGAUGACAUCAAGUCAUCAUGCCCCUUAUGUCCAGGGCUUCACGCAUGCUACAAUGGCUGGUACAGAGAGUGGCGAGCCUGUGAGGGUGAGCGAAUCUCGGAAAGCCGGUCUCAGUUCGGAUUGGGGUCUGCAACUCGACCUCAUGAAGUCGGAGUCGCUAGUAAUCGCAGAUCAGCAACGCUGCGGUGAAUACGUUCCCGGGGCU
rnacentral:rRNA from 1 species